rnacentral:lncRNA from 1 species
AGCCCCCGCGCAUCUCUGUGGCAGCUGCGUGCUUCCCGCCCCGCCGCGCCCGCCCACCCAACGGCGCUGUGUCCCCCGGUAGCUCAGCGGGGACUUCCUUUAUGUGGUACAGGGUUGGGCCUGGAGACCCGGAUGCCGGCGAGGUCCUGGCUGGGAGAGGCCGCCGCUGCCUUCAGGUUUCCGAGACAAUGGAGACUCUGAGAACAUCCAGAAAUAUCCACAGGACUGGCGAGGCUGUGGGCUUUCAACCACCACGAGAGGCUGUUUGCAUAUGAUUCUUCUAAAAUUGACAUCAGUGAAAUGCCUUGAAGAUAAUAAAGUGUUGAAGAAAUAAACAAAAUCAGAAUAUAUGGGAUCAGUUAGAAAGCUCUUAUUUAAGAAACAUGGAGGAUAUGAGAGCAAGCAAUGAAGUAAUGUUACAAAAUGACAUAUUUGAGUAGUUCAUACUGGUGGAAUUUUCCUGGCACUCUCAUGAGUUGA